GUGCCCUCCACCGGCCCAGCCUACCCUUGCUGACUUGUCUUCCACAUGUGCCUAAAGUGGCCCCUGCUCUUCACUGGUGGGUGUGGGAGGGCCCCACUGACCGAACUUUCAUUUAAAUGCUACUUCUGUCAUCUGGAAAUACAGUUUUCUGUUGCUAGCUGGCUUUGCCCUGACUGGACACGCUGUGACCUGGCCACUCCUCCAGGAAGACUCCAGGAGGCUUCAGCUCUGGCCUCAGGGCAGGCUCCUCCAGUGGCAGUGCUGACCUUGGGAGGUCUGGGGAGCCGCCUGUGCACUGGGGCUUGUGGGCCCCAUCCCUGCCUCUACGGCCUAUACACAGCACCACGCCCUAAGCUGUGACAACCAAACAUUCCCUGGGGUCACAGUCAUUCCUGGCUGACAGCCACUGUUCUGGGGGAAGCGCGCUCGGCCACUUUCUUUUUUUUUUUUUUUCUU
rnacentral:lncRNA from 1 species